AAAUUCAGCGGUCGGCCCCUGCUCUUUCGUCUUUCGUCAUUUGGUUUUGGUCCCGUCCGCCCCAUCGUCGCCCCCUCAUCCCGUCGGGUUCAGAAAAAAAAAAACAUCAUCCCUCGCUCCCGCUGCAUGCCCGGCACCGCGCCGUCCCUCUCCCAGUCUCCCUCCAUCCCCGGCCGCGGCCGGGUCCCCGGCCGGCGAUCCGCUCGGUCCCCAUCCGCCGAUCCGCUCCGUCCCCGGCCGCCGAUCCGCUCCCGCCACCACCAUGAGGCGCGCCUCGAAGAAGUCGUCGUCAUCCGCCGCGACCGCCAGCGCUGGCUCUCUCGGCCUACAUCCCCGGCCGGCGAUCCACACCGUCCCGGCCGCUGCUACGUCCACUGCGCCGCUUCUACCCGGCCUACGACUACUCAUCCUUGUACGAUUCUUGAAUCACAGUUGGUGUAAGGGAGCUUCUAUUGGAUGGCACAGUGAUGAUAAUAAACCUAAUCUUAGGCACAGGGCAUUCACAGUAAGGACCAAUCCUUUUUCUCUUUGGAGUUCCAUCAGUUCAGCGUUGACCUUUUCCUGUUAUAUACUUAUAUGUUGAAUCUGCUGUUCCUAUCAAUAAUUAUGGCACACUCUGCUCAAGCGAUUAAUGUCCGUGUCAUCUGGAUCCUCUUCAUGUAGAAGUCAAUGCUGUUAACCUGAAUGUGGCAAAAUUAUUAACAAAUAAUUAUUUUGUAUAUACAUUGGGAGGAUAAGUUGUGGCUACUUCUGAGUAACCUUGAGGAUUGGAAGAAGCAACUGCGGAAGCUCCUCGAUGUCACCAUGGUGACUGAUAGUCAUGGUAUGAUGGCCAACAACAAUCUUCCACUUAGCAGUUGAUUUAUUCAUUGCUUCAUGGUGGCCAUUUUUUGUCAGGAUCAUGUCAAGAGUUAGCCCUCUUUCUGAGGCUUCUCAAACCUAGCAAGUUUUUCUGAAUAAUAUACAAAUUUGUACAUGCGUUCACGAUAAAUGAUCUCAUGCAAAUAAAUCGCCUAUCCAAGUUCUGUUCUCCAAUGAUUUUCUACAUGGGACCAAGCUAAAGGCACGCCCAUCUCUAUGGAUGCUCGCUCACUGUGGCAAUUUCAUGGUUGAAAAUCCUUCAAUGUGUUAAGAUAUAUCUUAGUCGCAUCACAUGCAAAAAUAUCUAAAAGGGAGAUAUGUACGUUUGGAUAAUGUAUUCUAGCCUGUUUGAUUCUAAUACAAUUUUAGUAUUGGUGAAUUAGUGUGAACAUCAUUAAUAUCAAAUAUUUUGCUUGUUUCA